rnacentral:rRNA from 1 species
GACGAACCGUGCGAACGUUAUUCGGAAUCACUGGGCUUAAAGCGCGUGUAGGCGGGACGGCACGUCCGACGCUGAAAUCCCCCGGCUCAACCGGGGAACGGGCGCGGAUACGACCGUCCUCGAGGAACGUAGGGGGGACCUGGAACUUCCGGUGGAGCGGUGAAAUGCGUUGAGAUCGGAAGGAACGCCCGUGGCGAAAGCGAGGUCCUGGACGUUUACUGACGCUGAGACGCGAAAAGCCAGGGGAGCAAACGGGG